rnacentral:misc_RNA from 1 species
UAUUAUGUAUGUUCGGGGAUAACUUCUUCGUUUAUGAACCGAUUUUGAUAAUUCUUUUUUUGCUAGAAAGGAGAUAUUCAUAGUUUGGUACCAUGAUAAGGAAACCAGGAUCUGAUGAUGGGAUCCCAGAGAAAUCGAGGGAAACUUUCAAAAAUCGUAAGGGUGACUAGUAAAUUUAAUCAUGUUUUUAUUAAGUACUAUAAAGCACUACUAUUUAAUAAAGGU